GGCGCAGGCGGGAAGGCAAGUUGGAAGUGAAAUCCAUGGGCUCAACCCAUGAACUGCUUUCAAAACUGUUUUUCUUGAGUAGUGCAGAGGUAGGCGGAAUUCCCGGUGUAGCGGUGGAAUGCGUAGAUAUCGGGAGGAACACCAGUGGCGAAGGCGGCCUACUGGGCACCAACUGACGCUGAGGCUCGAAAGUGUGGGUAGCAAAC
rnacentral:rRNA from 1 species